rnacentral:rRNA from 1 species
CCUACGGGAGGCAGCAGUAAGGAAUAUUGGUCAAUGGGCGCAAGCCUGAACCAGCCAUGCCGCGUGCAGGAUGACGGCCCUCUGGGUUGUAAACUGCUUUUAUACGGGAAGAACAGCAUCUACGUGUAGGUGUUUGACGGUACUGUAAGAAUAAGGACCGGCUAACUUCGUGCCAGCAGCCGCGGUAAUACGAAGGGUCCAAGCGUUAUCCGGAUUUAUUGGGUUUAAAGGGUGCGUAGGCGGCUUUUUAAGUCAGUGGUGAAAGCCUGAUGCUCAACAUCAGAACUGCCAUUGAUACUGAAGAGCUUGAGUACAGUUGAGGUUGGCGGAAUGUGUCAUGUAGCGGUGAAAUGCUUAGAUAUGACACAGAACACCGAUUGCGAAGGCAGCUAGCUAAGCUGUUACUGACGCUGAUGCACGAAAGCGUGGGGAGCAAACAGGAUUAGAUACCCUGGUAGUCCACGCCCUAAACGUUGAUAACUCGUUGUUAGCGAUAUACUGUUAGCGACCAAGCGAAAGCAUUAAGUUAUCCACCUCGGAGUACGGUACGCGAGAGUAGUAACGUUAAAGUAAAGUUAGUAGACGUGAGACGUACGACGACGGACGACGACGAGGGGAGGAGGAG